rnacentral:rRNA from 1 species
CAUGUCUCAGUAUAAGCUCUUGUACGGUGAAACUGCCAAUGGCUCAUUAAAACAGUUAUAAUUUCCUUGAUGAUCAGAUCAAUACGUGGACAACUGUGGUAAUUCUAGAGCUAAUACAUGCCUGCAAACCCGACCCCGGGAAGGGUUGUGCGUAUUAGAAACUGGACUAACCCGCUCCGGCGGUCGCACGUUGAUUCAUAAUACUCCAGCAAAUCGCGUUGGCGAUGAAUCAUUCAAGUUUCUGACCUAUCAGCUUUCGAUGGUAGGGUAUUGGCCUACCAUGGCUUUGACGGGUAACGGAGAAUUAGGGUUCAAUUCCGGAGAGGGAGCCCGAGAAACGGCUACCACAUCUAAGGAAGGCAGCAGGCGCGUAAAUUACCCAAUUUUUAUACAGGGAGGUAGUGACAAGAAAUACCAAUACGAAGCAUCUUUGCUCUGUAAUUGGAAUGAGAACAAUCUAAACCUAUUAACAAGUAUCCAUUGGAGGGCAAGUCUGGUGCCAGCAGCCGCGGUAAUUCCAGCUCCAAUAGCGUAUAUUAAAACUGUUGCGGUUAAAACGCUCGUAGUUGCACAUCUGUGAGAGAAGACCAGUCCACCCUAGUGGUGCGUACUGUGUGUUUCACUGACAUCUACCUGGAGAGAGCAUGUUCGCUUCAUUGUGUUCGUGCACGCCCCAGAUCGUUUACUUUGAGGAAAUGAGAGUGUUUCAAGCAGGCCACUGCCAUGAAUAUGUUAGCAUGGAAUAAUAACACAGGACCUUGUGUCGUUGUUGUUGGUCAACAGCACGGGGUAAUGAAAAUAGGGAUAGUUGGGGGCAUUCGUAUUACAAUGUCAGAGGUGAAAUUCUUGGAUUAUUGUACGACGAACUACUGCGAAAGCAUUUGCCAAGGAUGUUUUUUUAAAUCAAGAAC